ensembl:lncRNA
UGCGUGUCUUCCAGCUUCUCUGUUGUUUCAGACCCAGAGAAGGACUUGUGUUUCUGUGGUGCUGCCACUAGCAGUAAUCAUAUUGCUGUGAUGGUCUCUCAUAAAUGAGAACAUAUUUCUCAGGAGGAGUGUCGUGCUCUAGCUUGUAUAGAUAGGAAAAACUGAACAAGUUUGGAGCACAUGAGCGUCUUUUGGCUCAGAAGAGCACCUCACAGCUCACUUGUUUGUUCCAGUUUUAUCAGUAUCUCUAAUGAAAUGCAUUGCUUCAUCCUGAAAACCUUGCUGUUCUUACAUCCACGGUUCCUACUAGCUUCAGAUGGAUUUGUUCCAGUUAAAACUGGCCUAUGCAUCUUCAGGCUCUACUAUGAAAAGUGUUGAGCGUCUGACCUGGCCUGGACAUCAGCAGUGACAGUGUUGGCAACCGUGACUGGGAUGGCUGCUCAGAUUUUGAGGAGUUUUUUUUUUUUCCACGAAGGUAUGGAAAGAGGGAGGAGAGCCUACAUAAUGAAGUGGAGCACAGUGAAAAGAUUGCAGAGCUCCUUUGAAUCCCCAGGAAACUGGGUGCCACUGGAGGGCAUAACUCUAAGAGAACAGCCACGGCUUCAGGCUGAAUCCUGCAGGGUCAUCUACUUUCAACUCACUAACCUGGAUGCAGGUGCAGUCACCGACUGUCACAGGAAGAGGUCCUCAGGUCCUUUCAUUUGUGACUGUGUCUGUGUUCGCUCUUCAGAUGUGCAGAGUCUUUCCCAGUUAUUUAAAGUGUUGAACUGAGAAGAGAAAAAGAGUGAAAAAGAAAAUGAGAGAACAGGAAGGAAGGAAAGAAAAGCAAGAAAGUAAGAAAGACAGUAAGAAGAAGAAAAGGGACAAUUCUCCCCACAUCCUCACAGACGAGGGAAGAGCUCACAAAAGGGUUUUUCAAUGCUGUGUUGUAAUAUCUUAUUUUAGGUUCUGAUCUGAAAUCCUUUGACGUCAGCUAACUUCCAGUGAAUUUAAUGUACUCUGGAUCAGGCUUGUCAUGUGGAUCUCAGACUUACUGUUUGUGGAUUAGCAUGAAUCUGUGGAUUAGCUUUCCAGAACAAAUACGUAACUUUAAAAAUGAAUUAGGCUAUUGUUUUAACAUGAACAGGUUUCAAUAUACAUGUCCCUGUGUAUGUAGAUGGGUGGCACAGUAUUUUUGAAAGGUGGGUGAUCAAGUCAUUUUAACAACAUGUUUGCUGUUGAGGUUAGCAGUGUUUAGGUUAAUGGAAAAGGAUCCUGUCUUGUGAAGCAUUUCCACCAGAAAUACUGGAGUCUAAACAAAAACCUCUUCCUAUUCUGAAAAACGUGGAACUGCAGACUGUUGCUACUUUGCCUUUUACAUACUUACCUAUGUAUAUACUUUAUGCACCUAGUGAGUAUAUCCGUAUCAUUAAAAAACAUAAUCUUCAUCAGUUUAUAAUAUGUAUCACCUCUGUUUGGUCACAGAGGACAGUAUACAAGUUAAAAUACAGAUGCACCUACCUUAUGCUUGUAUAAUAUUAAAUUUCUUUAAAGCUCUACUGCCAUAUAUGAUUCCAGAAUCAUGAUUUCUUGACAUUUUGGAAAUUCCAUAUAUUAUUUUUUUUUAAACAUAUCAUAACUUUCUUAGGCUUUACAUCAUCCAGUCUUUCAGUUCUAACUCAUGUCUCUACUCCAGUUUGAUAGCUUUAUGUGCAUAUGUUGGUUGGCAACACACCAGCACUGCAGAAAUAUCACAGACUUGAGUAAGACAUAAUACUCAGCCCUAAGAUGACCAGAAAAUAGCCCUUGGGUCUCAUGGUCUCAUGGGUGCAGGGUCAUUGUUCGCAUGUUGGAGGAGGGAGGGGUAUGGUUCAGAAGAUCCCAUGCCUUCUCCAUGUGAAAACCCAAAGACAAACGUCAGCCCUGAGAAACACCUGAUUGCCUGGAAGCAGCAAAAAAAAAAAAAAAAAAAAAAAAAAAAGACGACCCUUUCCCUCUGGAACACUUCCUCGGAAAGCAUGACAGUAAUGAAAACUUGGUGACACUGCAUCAGCAUUCAGCAACAGGAGCUUAACUAGGCUGUGUGGCAGAAACUUAAGAUUAGCAUGUCAAAAUAACUGGUGUGAACAGAAACUGAGCUACAAUCCAGAACCCAGAUGAAACUAAAUUAUCCAAUAUGAUCUGAAAAUGCCAGGUAGUUCUCAAACGGAAAGGCUGCAGUGCUUCUGAAUAAGCUGGCAUGCAUUUCAUAUAUUGCUUUCCUGCUCACUUGAUAAACUUCUCACUGUAUAUUUUGGCACAUUCUUGCAAUCUUUUAUUAGAAAUGAUUUCCAGUUUAUUAUUAAAUGAUUAUUUCCAAUUAAAAUAUGUCCCAUCCCCCCAAACAAUCAAUUUAAAUAAUAAAAUAAAAACUGUUUUGUUUGUUUGCUUUACA